rnacentral:lncRNA from 1 species
UUAAAACCUGAUGAAAGUCAUGAGGUAAAACCAAAACCUCUUUAUGAGCAUUUCGUGUCUGCUGGCACUGAGCUUGAUGUUUCUGCACAGACACAGAAACAUACAAAGGGUAAGAACUCAGUUUUGAAACCUAAGUAUCAUGCACAAAUUCCUCAUGGUUAUCCUUUUGCACAAAGAUCCAAAGUUGUAAGAAACUCUAAGAAAACUAAUAAGAGAGGGCCCAGAAAGUGAAUACCUA